CGCCAGACUCCUACGGGAGGCAGCAGUGGGGAAUAUUGCACAAUGGGGGAAACCCUGAUGCAGCAACGCCGCGUGGGUGAAGAAGCGUUUCGGCGCGUAAAGCCCUGUCAGCGGGGAAGAAGAAAGACGGUACCCGACCAAGAAGCCCCGGCUAACUACGUGCCAGCAGCCGCGGUAAUACGUAUGGUGCAAGCGUUAUCCGGAUUUACUGGGCGUAAAGGGAGCGCAGGCGGCGCGCCAAGUCUGAUGUGAAACCCCGGGGCUCAACCCCGGGCAUGCAUUGGAAACUGGCGGGCUGGAGUGCCGGAGAGGUAAGCGGAAUUCCUAGUGUAGCGGUGAAAUGCGUAGAUAUUAGGAGGAACACCAGUGGCGAAGGCGGCUUACUGGACGGCAACUGACGCUGAGGCUCGAAAGCGUGGGGAGCAAACAGGAUUAGAUACCCGAGUA
rnacentral:rRNA from 1 species